UGCAAGUCGAACGAGGACCGGAUGCUUGCAUCCGGAGCCGAGUGGCGAACGGGUGAGUAACACGUGACCAAUCUGCCCUUGGGAGAGGGAUAACCUGGGGAAACCCGGGCUAAUACCGCAUGAUGUGCGGCCAUCGCAUGGUGGCGGCACCAAAGGGGGGCCUCUACUUGUAAGCUCUCGCCCAGGGAGGAGGUCGCGGCGUAUCAGCUUGUUGGUGGGGUAACGGCCCACCAAGGCGACGACGCGUAGCGGGUCUGAGAGGACGAUCCGUCACAUUGGGACUGAGAUACGGCCCAGACUCCUACGGGAGGCAGCAGUGGGGAAUAUUGCGCAAUGGUCGAAAGACUGACGCAGCGACGCCGCGUGUGGGAGGAAGCCUUUCGGGGUGUAAACCACUGUCAGGUGGGAAGAAACACGCACGUCCAAACAGGGCGUGCGCUUGACGGUACCACCAGAGGAAGCGCCGGCUAACUCCGUGCCAGCAGCCGCGGUAAGACGGAGGGCGCGAGCGUUGUUCGGAAUUACUGGGCGUAAAGCGCGGGCAGGUGGUCCGUUAAGUCUUUUGUGAAACUCCGGGGCUCAACUCCGGACAUGCAGGAGAUACUGGCGGACUAGAGACCGGUAGAGGCCAGUGGAAUUCCUGGUGUAGCGGUGGAAUGUGUAGAUAUCAGGAAGAACACCAGUGGCGAAGGCGGCUGGCUGGGCCGUGUCUGACACUCAUCCGCGAAAGCGUGGGGGAGCAAACAGGAUUAGAUACCCUGGUAGUCCACGCCGUAAACGAUGGGCACUAGGUGCCGGGCCCAUAGACGGGUUCGGUGCCGGAGCUAACGCAUUAAGUGCCCCGCCUGGGGACUACGGCCGCAAGGCUGAAACUCAAGGAAUUGAC
rnacentral:rRNA from 1 species